rnacentral:rRNA from 1 species
UACGGGGGGCGCAAGCGUUAUUCGGAAUUAUUGGGCGUAAAGGGCGCGCAGGCGGUCUUGUCCGUCAGGUGUGAAAGCUCGGGGCUCAACCCCGGAAGUGCACUUGAAACAGCAAGACUUGAAUACGGGAGAGGAGAGAGGAAUUCCUGGUGUAGAGGUGAAAUUCGUAGAUAUCAGGAGGAACACCGAUGGCGAAGGCAUCUCUCUGGACCGAUAUUGACGCUGAGGCGCGAAGGCGUGGGUAGCGAACGGGAUUAGAUACCCCGGUAGUCCACGCAGUGAACGUUGUACACUCGGUGUAGCGGAUGCUAAAAUCUGCUGUGCCCAAGCUAACGCAUUAAGUGUACCGCCUGGGAAGUACGGUCGCAAGACUAAA